rnacentral:rRNA from 1 species
GACGUAGGGGGCAAGCGUUGUCCGGAAUCAUUGGGCGUAAAGCGCUCGUAGGUGGAUCGGUAAGUCUGCAAAGAAAGACCCGGGCUCAACUCGGGGAACGGUGUGGAUACUACCGAUCUUGAGGCAAUCAGAGGAUGAUGGAAUUCCCGGUGUAGCGGUGAAAUGCGCAGAUAUCAGGAGGAACACCGGUGGCGAAGGCGGGUCUCUGGGCAAUAACUGACGCUGAGGAGCGAAAGCGUGGGGAGCGAACAGG